UAGGGAAUCUUCCGCAAUGGGCGAAAGCCUGACGGAGCAACGCCGCGUGAGUGAUGAAGGUCUUCGGAUCGUAAAACUCUGUUAUUAGGGAAGAACAAAUGUGUAAGUAACUAUGCACGUCUUGACGGUACCUAAUCAGAAAGCCACGGCUAACUACGUGCCAGCAGCCGCGGUAAUACGUAGGUGGCAAGCGUUAUCCGGAAUUAUUGGGCGUAAAGCGCGCGUAGGCGGUUUUUUAAGUCUGAUGUGAAAGCCCACGGCUCAACCGUGGAGGGUCAUUGGAAACUGGAAAACUUGGGUGCAGAAGAGGAAAGUGGAAUUCCAUGUGUAGCGGUGAAAUGCGCAGAGAUAUGGAGGAACACCAGUGGCGAAGGCGACGUUCUGGUCUGUAACUGACGCUGAUGUGCGAAAGCGUGGGGAUCAAACAGG
rnacentral:rRNA from 1 species